UACGAAGGGGGCUAGCGUUGUUCGGAAUUACUGGGCAUAAAGGGCGCGUAGGCGGCCUUGUCAGUCAGAAGUGAAAGCCCCCGGGCUCAACCUGGGAAUUGCUUUUGAUACUGCAAGGCUAGAGUUUCGGAGAGGAUGGUGGAAUUCCCAGUGUAGAGGUGAAAUUCGUAGAUAUUGGGAAGAACACCGGUGGCGAAGGCGGCCAUCUGGACGAACACUGACGCUGAGGCGCGAAAGCGUGGGGAGCAAACAGGAUUAGAUACCCGGGUAGU
rnacentral:rRNA from 1 species